GAAAUGCGAUAAUUAAUGUGAAUUGCAGAAUUCAGUGAAUCAUCGAGUCUUUGAACGCACAUUGCGCCCCCUGGUAUUCCGGGGGGCAUGCCUGUCCGAGCGUCAUUGCUGCCCUCAAGCACGGCUUGUGUGUUGGGCUUCCGUCCCUGGCAACGGGGACGGGCCCCAAAGGCAGUGGCGGCACCAUGUCUGGUCCUCGAGCGUAUGGGGCUUUGUCACCCGCUCCCGUAGGUCCAGCUGGCAGCUAGCCUCGCAACCAAUCUUUUUAACCAGGUUGACCUCGUAUCAGGUAGGGAUACCCGCUGAACUUGAGC
rnacentral:misc_RNA from 1 species